UCUGCAAGUGAUGAAGAACAGACAGGGACAUCAGAACUUCAUUAAGAGUUAUGAUGAUUUGUCAAACAAUGGGAAUCUCUAUGAUGCUUA